rnacentral:misc_RNA from 1 species
CUUUUUGGUUUCUUCUUGGACGAGUAUAAGAUCCAUGUCCUGCCAAGUAGACAAUGUGAGUUUGACAAAGCUUUCAAUGUCUUUGGUAAUUGUGGAUUUGAAAUGUGGUGAUCUCAAGAAGCCGCCAAUAAGUGCAUGAAGUUUCUUCUGCAUAUUUCCAUUCAUUUGAAGUAUAGAAAACUCUCCAAGCAAAAUCCUGAUUGAUUUAGGAUAAGCAGGGAUGAACACAUUGCCAUGGUUUUGUAAAACCACUUUGUUCACCUCUGGAUCUGUGGACACUAUGAUGGGUGUUCCAAGAAUAUGAGUUUUAAACACCUCUCCAUAUCUGUAAAAAGGAGAAACUUUAUUUUAUGAUAUAUUUCAAACUUUUCAUUGAUUGGAUGAAGGAGGGCAGCCAGGAUGGAGAGAAAAAGGAAAAGGUAAUAUCAAUAGAAAGCUGAUAAAAACUAUGGAGACAUGGGCUGUGGUUAAUGACUGCACAAGCAACAGCUAUAGGAGUUGCUGCUGCAAGCAAGUAACCUAAGGCCUGGUCAGAUCAGGUCAGGUCAGGCUUUACUUUCUUUCCUUUCACUGCUUGAUCCUGCCCGCAAUUAUUUGCUAUGCAUAUAUUGUCACAUCCGCUUCUGAUCAGCAGUAGUAAAUUAAAAAUGAAAAAGUUGUGAAAAUUGAUGAAUUAUGAGUUAUGAGAAGAAUGUGGAUCUUUAAUAAGGUAGGUUGGCUGGUUGCUAAUUAACAAGUGCCUUGGAAUAUCAAAAAGUCAAUAUGUCACUAUUUAAUCAUCUUCUUACUAUAUAAUACUGUUUCUUAAUAUGAUUAUAAAUUAAUGGACUUGGCUCAUGUAUAAACUUAUUUAUGUUUUGAUUGGUUUUGUUUCAAAAUUACUGAUAUUUCAUUCAAUUUCUACCAACAUGGCGAUUGUUGCAAUGGCUAAACAUAUUGACGUGCCAUGCUUAGACCACUAAUUUCUAAGCUUGAGUCUCAUAGCUAGGUAUUAAGAUAUUAUUCUCACUUCUCAACCAACAAAGGGGGAUAUAUAUCUUUGAUAGAUAGAGAAGGUUAAGCAUCGUUUCUUAUACCUCAUUGACCCCAAAAAUGAUGAAAAGAAAAUACAUAAUAAUUAAUUAAGCAAUUUAAUUAAUUGACCCUAAUCGAGUCAACUAAGUUUGAAAAACUUAGAACCUUAGUUAAUAUCUAUAUAUUAAUUUACUGUAGUUUACUGAGCUAUAUGUGCUUUUUUAGUUUAAUUUAUUUUGCCCCACGCAUGCACAUAGAUUUACUAAUUAGUAAAAAUGGUGUUGCUUAUUUUGUUUUGUUAUUUUUGUCAGCAGAUUAAUUGCAAUAAUAAAGAAUUAAUUUAUCCUAAUAUUAAUAUAAUGACCAUCA